rnacentral:rRNA from 1 species
GAUGAACGCUGGCGGCGUGACUAAUACAUGCAAGUCGAGCGAAGCGGGGACGGAUGAGUAACACGUGGAUAACAUCCUAUAAGACUGGGAUAACUUCGGGAAACCGGAGCUAAACCGGAUACAUAUUGAUGGAUACGCGCUGCAUGAGCUAUUUGGUAAGGUACCGGCUUACGAAGGCAACGAUGCAUAGCCGACCUGGGAGGGUGAUCGGCCACACUGGAACUGAGACACGGUCCACACUCCUACGGGAGGCAGCCGUAGGGAAUCUUCCGCAAUGGGCGAAAGCCUGACGGAGCAACGCCGCGUGAGUGAUGAAGGUCUUCGGAUCGUAAAACUCUGUUAUUAGGGAAGCGGUACCUAAUCAGAAAGCCACGGCUAACUACGUGCCAGCAGCAGCGGUAAUAC